rnacentral:rRNA from 1 species
UACGUAGGUGGCAAGCGUUGUCCGGAUUUAUUGGGCGUAAAGCGGGCGCAGGCGGAAAGAUAAGUCUGAUGUGAAAGCCCCCGGCUUAACCGAGGAAUUGCAUCGGAAACUGUGUUUCUUGAGUGCAGAAGAGGAGAGUGGAACUCCAUGUGUAGCGGUGGAAUGCGUAGAUAUAUGGAAGAACGCCAGCGGCGAAGGCGAUUCACUGGACUGUAACUGACACUGAGGCACGAAAGCGUGGGGAGCAAACAGG